UACAGAGGUGGCGAGCGUUGUUCGGAUUUACUGGGCGUAAAGGGUGCGUAGGUGGUACCGUAUGUCGGAUGUGAAAUCCCCCGGCUCAACCGGGGAAUGGCAUUCGAAACUGCGGUUCUAGAGUGCAGGAGAGGAGAGCGGAAUUCUUGGUGUAGCGGUGGAAUGCGUUGAUAUCAAGAAGAACACCGGUGGCGUAGGCGGCUCUCUGGAAUGCAACUGACACUGAGGCACGAAAGUUGGGGGAGCAAACAGGAUUAGAUACCCUGGUAGUCCCAACCCUAAACGGUGUACACUUGGUGUGGGGAGAUUUGACCCUCUCCGUGCCGUAGCUAACGCGUUAAGUGUACCGCCUGGGGAGUACGGUCGCAAGAUUA
rnacentral:rRNA from 1 species